rnacentral:lncRNA from 1 species
AGAUAAUAUUAAAAAUAAUUAUAUUUAAAUGUAUUAUAUACUAUAUUAUAGAAAGUUAAAAAUUUUCCAAAUAUUAAAUGAGAAAUGUUUAACAACAGUGAGAUUAAAAUCAUUCAAUUAAAUUUAUAAUAGACUUUAAUCUACAGUAUAGAGAAGAGCUAUGUAAAGUUGCAUAACGUUUCAUAGAGAAAGAGUUAAAUGAUGUUUACGUAUAGUUCAACGUUUAUUGUAUUCGGAUUAUUUUUAAUAAUUUUUUCUGAUACGACUUUGGCAAAAUGUAAUAACAUCGAAACUUGUACUUGCAUCGUUCCUGACAAUGAAGCAAAAAAUUAAUUAACAUUAUAUACAAAGGAAAACCUGAAGAGAAACUGCCUCAUACAUUGUACAUCGAUUAUUGUGAGAAUAUACCAGAAAAAAUUAAUGAAAAUGAACUCCAUUGCAUUAAACAAAAUGGAUCGUUCUGCUCCAAUAAUUUUCAUACAACAAAACUUACCGAAUUAGGUGUUGUGAGUCAAACUGAUGCACAAUUGGUAUCAGGGUAUAAUAAUAUAUCAAUAUACAUAAAUUAUCCAAAUUUUGUUUUACUAACAACGGUCAGUUGUUGCACAAAGUGUACCGCACAAUUUAUUUCCAAUAAUAUUACCUAUCAUGUUCCACCAAUAGGAACAAUAAAUCCGUGCAGGAAACAACUGCCUCCAGCUACCAUUUCUAUGGGAUCUACUUUAGUAAUUCUAUUCUUCGUGUUCAGUGGAUUAUAUUUUAUUGGUGGGGCAAUAGCAUUAAGGAUGCUAAGAGGUGCGACUGGUUGGGAAAUGUUACCUAAUCACGAGUUCUGGUGUGAUCUUCCAUCACUUAUUAGAGAUGGCAUUACUUUCACGUUUAACUGCUGCAGAGCAGAUAGUUAUGAACGAAUAUAAAUCUCUGAUGCGAUUUUAUCUAUAUUAUUUUUUUAUACUAUACCUAAUGUGUACAAACUCGGCUCUAAUUUAUACAUCUUUAAAAUAAUGUGUUUAUAAAUAUCCAAGAUGUUAGAUCUUACUGUAUAUUUAUAAAUUACAACAAUUUGUGUGCUAUGAUAUUUGAUAAGAACGAAGACGAAAGUUAUUUAAUAUAGCAUAUACAUUUGCUUUCUAAUAAUCCGGCGUAUAUUCGGAAACAUUUUACUGUGAAUAUUCAUUAUUUUACAUAUUUUUUACAGUAUAUUAUAUACACAAGAAUGUA